AGUAUACUCCUUCCCUCUCACAUAAGGGUGGGUGCUACACUACCACCCAUCAUGAAGUUCACCUCCAUGUGAGGAGUGAGUAAACUCCUAGACUACCUAAUAAAUUUCAUGCCAUAAAACAUUGUGUUACAGCUCUAAUUAGGACUGAGCACUUGACCCGGCCCACCCGAAAACCGACCCGACCCGACCCGACCCGACAGGUUUUGGGCGGGUCUAAGAAUAUUCGGGUCCAGUUUCGGGUCUUAUUUUCAGGUUAUUUUCGGGUUUGGAUCGGAUUCGGGUCGGUUUUCGGGUCAUAUAAAUACCUUAGUCUGAACCCGAUUUUGGUGUUUCUAAAAAAAAACCCUACGUUGGUCUCUUUAGUCUCCACCUCCCUCAUCUCUCUCUUUAUUCCUCAAAGGUUUAAACCUCAUCCUUACAAGCCAAUUUCAAGCUAUUUGCUCCAUUUGUCUCUGUGUUUUUAACUAAAGAGCUCUUCUGCCUCUCUCUGGGGUUUCACUAUUUUGCUUUUUCGCCAAGCAACCCCAUGUGUAUGAAGCCAAGUUUAAUGUUGGAGCUUGAAGAAGUGCUUACAUGCAGGAUUACUGAAAAUAAACUUUUUUGACGACUAAGCAUUCUGUCCAGCAAUGGAUUGCUGUAAUCUGUUUCAUGACUAAGCAUUUUGUUGUAAUGUAAAACUUUAGAUAUCUUGCCAUAGUUUUUCAUUUCCGGCUCUUUAGUGCUUGUGUUGGUUUUUAUGCAUUUGUAUUGCUUUCUCAAAGUUCUAACACUGUUUGGGGAGUUCACAACAGAAUGAAAUGAAUUAGAGUGGAUAGGUUAUAAAUGAAUGGAAUGUGGAGGACUAUAUUAUUUUCUUU